AAAAAGAGAGCAGAGACAAAGAAUGCGAAGCGGCUGUGGGGCUGCAGGCUCCAACCAUGGGGAAACUGAAGCUCAGAAAGACGAAGUAACUUGUCCGAGGUCACAAAACUGGUGAACACCAAGUUGGCACUAUGGCGGGGCUGGGAAACUGGAGCCUGACCA